GUUCAUUUCUACGUUUAAACCGAUUCCUUUACGUUUUUUUUCUUUUUUCUUUUACAGGUACUUUGUCAAGAGUAACAAACGAUAUCUGGGAGACGCUGAUGGACGCUGCGUCUAGUCAACGACCGUAGGUUGUGCACGGCUGCCGGAGCACCUUCGGGAAACGCUAACCGCCGUGCAUCUCUGCGCCCACGGUCCUGCUCGACAGUGGCUGAGACGUGCAACACAGUUGCGCCCAACUUCCCUCUAUGCUACAAGCACCCCAGGAGCUACUAUCGCCCAAAGAUGUCACAGGCGGUCAUGAUUCUUUGAGG